GCUUGCAGAUCGCAAAGUAUUUCAUCUAUAUCCCAAUUGGUGGACGGGCCAACAGUUUUAGUUGAGCCAAAGGCUUUCAGCAGUUAAUAGCGCAAAAUUGUGUCUUUCCCCAGCGGACAAAAAAGCAAGCAAAUUCAAUCAAGAUGAGCGAAGCCCGUAACUUGUUCACCACCUUUGGCAUCCUGGCCAUCCUGCUUUUCUUCCUUUACCUCAUCUAUGCCGUAUUGUAAAAUGUUUCCGGCAAGUAGAUGGUCCUUAGCGGAACAAAAGCCAGCAGCCAAAUCAAACCAAUCAACAUGAAUGAGGCCAAAAGUUUGUUCACCACCUUCCUCAUCCUGGCCUUCCUGCUGUUCCUGCUCUACGCCUUCUACGAAGCCGCCUUCUAGGCCCACAUCCCCACCAUGAUCACCAUGACCACCAGUACCACCACCCAUCACCCACCAUCAAGAAUAGCUUACAUGUUGAAUUUCAAUUCCAAGCCGCCGGCCAUGCCAUCAUCUUGUGGUGCGGUGGAGCUUCUAGGACCCUACGC